rnacentral:misc_RNA from 1 species
CGUGAAUUCAACGGCUUGUCUGAAAUGCCUGAGUGUACCCCACCUUGUGGCGUAUUCAGUGUGAUACAUCUUCACUGGAGUUGAUCCUUUCGGGGGUCGCGUCUGCAGGAGUUGUGGCUCUAUGCUUCCAACUGUCUCUGACGAGACAAAUCUUCUGACAAUUUGACCUCAAAUCGGGUGGGACUACCCGCUGAACUUAA